rnacentral:misc_RNA from 1 species
AAGUCGUAACAAGGUUUCCGUAGGUGAACCUGCGGAAGGAUCAUUAAAGAGAACUUGCCCUUCGGGGUAGAUCUCCCACCCUUUGUUUAUCAUACCUUUGUUGCUUUGGCAGGCCCGUCCCCGGCCGGCCGCUGCUGGCUGGCCCGCGCCUGUCAGAGGACCCCAAACUCAUGUUUAUAUGUCGUCUGAGUACUAUAACAAAUCGUUAAAA